rnacentral:rRNA from 1 species
GACGAACGCUGGCGGCGUGCUUAACACAUGCAAGUCGAACGAGGUCCAUUGCGAGCUUGCUCAAGAGAAGACCUAGUGGCGGACGGGUGCGUAACACGUGAGAAACCUGCCCCAGACUUGGGAAUAACAGUCGGAAACGACUGCUAAUACCGAAUACCUUCGUAGCGUCGCAUGGCGCAUCGAAGAAAGCUUUUGCGGUUUGGGAGGGUCUCGCGGCCUAUCAGCUAGUUGGUGAGGUAACGGCUCACCAAGGCAUCGACGGGUAGCUGGUCUGAGAGGAUGAUCAGCCACACUGGGACUGAGACACGGCCCAGACUCCUACGGGAGGCAGCAGUGGGGAAUAUUGCACAAUGGGCGAAAGCCUGAUGCAGCAACGCCGCGUGCGGGAAGAAGGCCCUAGGGUUGUAAACCGCUUUCAGCAGGGAAGAAACUGACGGUACCUGCAGAAGAAGGUGCGGCCAACUAUGUGCCAGCCGCCGCAGUAA